rnacentral:rRNA from 1 species
UACGGGGGGAGCAAGCGUUGUUCGGAUUUACUGGGCGUAAAGGGCGCGUAGGCGGCCACCGCAAGUCGACUGUGAAAUCUCCGGGCUUAACCCGGAAAGGUCAGCCGAUACUGCGGGCUAGAGUGCAGAAGGGGCAACUGGAAUUCUCGGUGUAGCGGUGAAAUGCGUAGAUAUCGAGAGGAACACCUGCGGCGAAGGCGGCUUCCUGGACCGAUACUGACGCUGAGACGCGAAAGCGUGGGAGCAAACAGG